UCGGACGUGGUGCGCGAUGCACACCUGCUGCUCCUGACCGGGUUAUAUGAUUUAUUCAGCAGGAUAUCUGGGUUCGACUCCCAGCGUCCGAA